AGACGUGAGGGCGAUCUGGCUGGGACAUCUGUCACCCCAUUGAUCGCCAGGGUUGAUUCGGCUGAUCUGGCUGGCUAGGCGGGUGUCCCUUCCUCCCUCACCGCUCCAUAUGCGUCCCUCCUGAAGCUUAGUGCUCAGUCGAAGAGGACGGCCUUCCCUGAAUAGAGACGGACAGGCUUCGGUCGAGGGAAUACGAGUAGCUGCGCUCCCCUGUUAAAACCUCCAAACCAGCUCUCAAACUUUGUUCUCAUUGUUCUUCUCUUCCUUCCUUCCUAUGGAAGAGAUCAUUCAUUUAGCUUCCUUCCCAAGGAUGAGGUCAUUCAUU
rnacentral:snRNA from 1 species